GGAAGAAUCUCUUAGAAUAUCAUGAAAAUUUAAUCAGAUCCCUUGCAGGAACAUUUAGAAACAAUCGCUUUAUGCUGUAAUCACUUCCUUCAGUCCUGAUCCUUGAGACUAUUGGAGACACUUUCUCUGAACUGGAUUCAAGAAUGUGAUUACCAAGGAAGCUGGUAUCAACAUAAUGUGUUUUUAGGGAUGAAAUUGGAUCUAAUUUAAACACAAAUAUUUUGAGAAUGUUCAACUUGAAAGAUAUGUUAUUUUCCAGUGUUCAUGAAUAUCUCCAACACUUUACAGUGAUUCAGUUAAUGGAGAGUACCUUGUAAAAGGUUGGUUGAUUAUUUAAUAACCGUCUCUGAGUUUGACUAUAUAUAUAGCUAAAUUUAGAUUUUUAAAAUAUAAUUGUUAUACUUUCUGAUUUCUCAAUCAAUAUUAUUCUCUUUUUAAGAUAAAGACAAACAACCAUAGGAAUAAAAUAUGGUUACCACGUGCAUACUUGAAUGUUGAUUUGAAAGGUACAUCCACUUUUAAGGUGUCUACUGAAAUAACAUUCUUCUUUCUCGUAAUAGAUGGUUUAUGACAAAUUUCUUUUCUUUGAUAGAUAAUGUAGACUAUUUUGAGGGUAUCUAUUAUAUGUGUAAUAAAAAUUUAUUCAUGUCAGGGCGUCUGGGUGGCUCAGUCAGUUCAGUGUCCAACUCUUGAUUUUGCCUUAGGUCAUGAUCUCACAGUUCAUGGGUUUGAGCCCUGAGUCGGGCUCCAAGCUGAUGGUGCAGAGCCCGCCUGGGGUUCUCUCUCUCCCUCUCUCUCUACCCCUCUCCUGCUCUCUCACUCUCUCAAAAAUAAAUAAACUUAAAAAAAAAUCUAUUCACAUCUCUGUGGGUUGGUACAGCCAAAGCAGGAAGUAGUGCUCCGUGUCAGCAGUGCCUCUUCUGGUAACAAAGUUCCUGGGGAAAAAGUGGUUGAACAUCAGGAGCGGGAUUCUCUUUUCUCUUCUGGAAUCUAGCAAGCCAUUUUUAUUACUACACUUUAAAUCUUGUCAGGAAGUGAAAUGUUUAGUUAUCUUAAUGUGGAUUACAAUAUUUUUACUCUGGGAGGUUUUACGUGGUUAUAAUUAAACUUCAGUUCUCUCUACUGUGUGUAUUUG